rnacentral:rRNA from 1 species
UACGUAGGGUGCAAGCGUUAUCCGGAAUCACUGGGUGUAAAGGGUGUGUAGGCGGAUUUGUGCGUCAGAGGUUAAAUACCCAGGCUUAACUUGGGAAAUGCCUUUGAUACGGCAAGUCUUGAGUAUGAGAGAGGAAGAUGGAAUUCCUGGUGUAGAAGUGAAAUUCGUAGAUAUCAGGAGGAACACCGGUGGCGAAGGCGGUCUUCUGGCUCAUUACUGACGCUGAGGCACGAAAGCGUGGGGAUCAAACAGG